ACUUUUGCCCUCCUGUUCCAGGGUCCCUCAGGCGGCCACCCUCGUGGGCACACGCCCAGGUGCCGUUCCUGCCCCGCGCUCCCUCCCUCUGCCUUUCACUUCCCAGCUGCCAAGAUCUUGGAAGCUUUGAAGCUCAGCGAAGAAGGAAAAUCCAUUGAGAACAGUCUGUAAAGUGUUGAGAAAUAUCCAGAUACUACCUGCACUCUUCCUGUCUCCUGCUUAAACCUGAGAUUCUUCCACUGGGU